CCUACGGGGGGCUGCAGUGGGGAAUAUUGCACAAUGGGCGCAAGCCUGAUGCAGCAACGCCGCGUGAACGAUGAAGGCCUUCGGGUCGUAAAGUUCUUUUCUUAGGGAAGAAAAAUGACGGUACCUAAGGAAUAAGCACCGGCUAAAUACGUGCCAGCAGCCGCGGUAAUACGGAGGGUGCAAGCGUUAUCCGGAAUCACUGGGUUUAAAGGGUACGUAGGCUGUAAUAUAAGUCAGACGUCAAAGGCUGUGGCUAAACCAUAGUACGCGUUUGAAACUAUAUCACUUGAAUAUGUUCGAGGUGCACGGAAUGCGUCAUGUAGCGGUGAAAUGCAUAGAUAUGACGUAGAACACCAAAUGCGAAGGCGGCUCACUGGCUCGAUACUGACGCUGAGGUGCGAAAGCGUGGGGAGCGAACAGGAUUAGAUACCCUUGUAGUC
rnacentral:rRNA from 1 species